CUGAGAUCCCUUCCUUGCUGGGUCCCCUUCCCUUGAAUUCUUUGCUUUGCAGGAUGUGGUUCAGGAGGAAACAGAAUGGUGGCACAGAAAUGAAAAGCUGGUAAUAUCUAGAAGCCUUCUGGGCAUCUCUCAUCUGAUGGGGCUCAGUUGGUGUCUUUCUAUUAAGCUUCCUAAGAAAUUACAUUUGCGCAUUAAUUGGUUUCCAGGUUGCUGAGCAGAGGUUCACGUGUUAAGACUAUGAAGUAAAAUGCGCUGCAGAUGGCACCAUUCUGUGUCCCAGCAGGCUCCAGGGAUCCUGCUGCCUACCUCCUCCACCGAUGCUCAUCCCUCUAUCACAGCCACCUGUGCCAGGUGCUGCCUGAGGUCCCCGCCCCGGGGUGGUGCCUGACCACCCUCAAGGUCUUCUGGUUGAAUAAGAAAAGCACAGGCCUUUCAGUCCUAGAUCUGUGUGUUUUGUCCAUCCCUGGAACCACAAGACUCUGGUAAGGCACCUAACCACUGGAUGCCCGGUUUUUCAUCCAUAAAAUUGGAGAGUAUCAGUGACGGAAAAUAUCCACCAACUUCCUGGUCUACAACAGGGGUUCAACAAACAAGUGGUACUUUAAGUCAGUGCUUAUACUCAUGCCGCUCACAUGGAGGUGAGAGAAAAUAAAAAGCUCUGAAACAGCAGAUCUCGGAAACAAGUGGUACCACUUCCUGCCAUGCAACUGAAGGUGAGGCCAGUGCCUGAGGUUGCAGACACCGCCACGUGGCCCAACAUGCCAGUCUACCUGAUUGCAUAUAUUUUAUGUGUGGGGAUUAGAAGUUUUUAUCACCGGCACAGUUGAGAAAAGACCUAAAGAUAUUUCUGAUGCUGAUCCAAGAAACUUUGAUUUGAAACCUGGCUGAUCAGAGUCCAUACCUCCUGUGACCUCUUGCGUCCUCCCCUGGCCCUCACUUGGAAAGGAAGAUGGCAUGAAUGCGAGGGUUAGGACCCUCGAAG
rnacentral:lncRNA from 1 species